rnacentral:rRNA from 1 species
UACGUAGGGUGCAAGCGUUGUCCGGAAUUAUUGGGCGUAAAGAGCUCGUAGGUGGCCUGUCGCGUCGGCUGUGAAAACUCGGGGCUCAACUCCGAGCUUGCAGUCGAUACGGGCAGGCUAGAGUUCGGCAGGGGAGACUGGAAUUCCUGGUGUAGCGGUGAAAUUCGUAGAUAUCCGGAGGAACACCAGUGGCGAAAGCGGCCACCUGGACUGCACCUGACGCUGACACGCGAAAGCUAGGGGAGCGAACGGG